rnacentral:antisense_RNA from 1 species
UUGUCCAGAGUCAAAGAUGCUCCACUGAGGCUAUUUCGCUUAGAAAUAUUUGGGAGCCUGCUGUGCUGGAACAGGGUCUCACUGGUGACUGCUACCGCUUCAAGGCUGGGGUGCUGAGAGCUGUACAGCUGUACCCAGCAAAAACACUACUGAGAAUGAAGGCAGGGAACAUCAAGGUGGCUGGAGUGCAGUGGCAUGAACAUGGCUCACUACAGCCUCAACCUCCUGGGCUCAAGUGAUCCUCCCACCCCAGCCUCCCAAGUAGCUGGGACUACAAGUGCAUGCCACCACGCCUGGCUACUUUUUGCAUUUUUUGUAGAGACAGGGUUUUGCCGUGUUGCCCAGGCUUGUCUC